AAACAGGCCAUGCAUGCUGCCAUCCUGUGCUACUUCUGCCCCGUCUGCAGUGAAAAGGCGUGAUUCUGCUCAGAAAUGACCAUCAUGGGAAUCCAAACCCCAGUCAGGUUGGUGUCCUUCUGCCCAGCUCUGCAGACACUCAGGCACAGGUGCUGUGCCUGCCCAGGCCUGGGUCUUUGCUGUCCUGUGAGCACUGGUCUCAGCUUCAUGGAGAAGCUGGGAAUGAGCUCAAGGUGGAUGAGCAGGGAUGCCCUGGAUCUGCCUCGCGCCUAGGGCGCCGGGGGCUCGUCACUUUCCCUCCUUUCUCUGGCAGACAACCAGCUUGGUGGGAUGACAAAACAUAGCCAUCUCUGCGAGAGAGGCACAGGCGCUGCGAUGCCAGCGAGUGCCUUUACCAAGAAGGCAGGGAAGAGACAGAGGAAGAGGGGUGAGUGACCUCUGCAGUCUUCUGGGGCUCUCUGUGGGAUCUCAGCCUCACCACAGGCUGGGGGAGCAAGGAUUGAGCACCAGAGCUGUGCUGGCUACUCCCUGCCUCGGCUUGCUUCGUCCUCACAGCCACAACCCGUUUGCUUCCCCUGGCAGCUGCUCCUCUGCAGCUAGUGUGCCGCAGAAGGCACCCACCGGCACUGAUCUUCCUUGGCCUCCAGCACAAGCACCUGGGAGUGCGACACCUGCACUGGCUUGUGCACCGCCUCCCACACUGACUCUGAGCUUGCCGGCCCCAGCACUUUCAGUCAGGAGGCACCAGGGCCAUCCCACAGCAUUUCAGGACCUGAAAACAUCAGCUCUGGCCCCACCAGCCAGGCAGCAUCGGGCCCGUCAUGCAGCUUCCAGCUGCCUGAGCUCGAUGUCCAGCCCAGAGAGCCUGCAGCAGAACAGAGGACCACCCGCCCAGGUCUGUGUGGGAGGAGUUGGGCACCAGCUGCAGGCGCUGAGACCUGCUCCCAGAGCCCCACCAGAUGGAGGACAUCACUGUUCUCCAGAGGCUCCCAAGCAGCUGCUCCCAGAAAGCGUCCCACGCAGCAGGGGACAGGCCACACAAGAAGCCGCUCCUCAUUGCAAGGUCGGGCCUCAGGCUCCCAGAGCUGGCCCCAAAGACGUUGUGGUGGCAGCCGUGGGUGGGUGGCACCCCAAGGUGCUCAGAGCAGCAACUGCACCUUGGCCAGACCAGCGCCAUCAAGGUUCUCCAGGGCUUCCCCACUGCCUGCAUGCAGGAGACGAUCCGGGCAGUGAGGGUGGGCUCACACUUGAAGCCAAUCCCUAGUGGGGUGUCGCGCUUCAUAUUCCCGCAGCCAGCCCCAAGGACGCCAUGGGAGGCGGUCUAGGCAGCGGGGACCAGCCCGGGCACAAAGCCACUCCCGAGUCCAGCAUCUGAGUAGACGUCCCCGCAGCCAGUCCCAAAGACGGCGCAGGAGCAGCCAUGCCCCAUCCUCGCGUGAUGGUUGUGGUCCCAAGCAGGCAAGAAAAUAAACCUUGAAGAUACUCCA
ensembl:lncRNA